rnacentral:rRNA from 1 species
UACAGAGGGGGCAAGCGUUGUUCGGAAUUACUGGGCGUAAAGGGCGCGUAGGCGGCCGCCUAAGUCAGACGUGAAAUCCCUCGGCUCAACCGGGGAACUGCGUCUGAUACUGGGUGGCUUGAAUCCGGGAGAGGGAUGCGGAAUUCCAGGUGUAGCGGUGGAAUGCGUAGAGAUCCGGAAGAACACCGGUGGCGAAGGCGGCCCGCUGGGCUGUGGCUGACGCUGAGGCGCGACAGCGUGGGGAGCAAACAGG